rnacentral:lncRNA from 1 species
AAAUCAAUAACUAUUAUGAAGCAGAUUCACAGAGUACCAUCACCAAUCAGUCAAUAUUUGUGAAACAAAUGCAUAAUUAUUUAGGAUAACAAUUUAGAUUCUCUAGAUAUGUCAAUAAUGUUCAUUCAUUAGAUCAUCUGAACUGAAUAGAACUCGGUAUCUAGGAUUUACAACACUCACACACUGCGCGGCUACGCACCAACAACUCGUGCUAGACCCGGGUGGUACUAUGUCAAAUAUUUGUUUUGUUAUACCAUAAAAUGAAUUUUCAUUUUC